CAAUAGCGUAUAUUUAAGUUGUUGCAGUUAAAAAGCUCGUAGUUGGAUUUCUGGUGGGAGCGAUCGGUCUGGCGCUUAGCGCGAGUACUUGCAUCGUCUCCGGCCAUCCUUGGGGAGAGUCUGUCUGGCAUUAGGUUGUCGGGCAGAGGAUCCUCAUCGUUUACUGUGAAAAAAUUAGAGUGUUCAAAGCAGGCUUAUGCCGUUGAAUAUAUUAGCAUGGAAUAAUAAGAUAGGACUUUGGUACUAUUUUGUUGGUUUGCGCACCAAAGUAAUGAUUAAUAGGGACAGUUGGGGGUAUUCGUAUUCCGUUGUCGGAGGUGAAAUUCUUGGAUUUACGGAAGACGAACUACUGCGAAAGCAUUUACCAAGGAUGUUUUCAUUAA
rnacentral:rRNA from 1 species